CCUCAGUAUACGAAAAUUAGCUAGACAUACUUGAAUUGGGAGCAACAAAAUAAAUAAAUUCAGCCAUGGGGAAGCCGAAUUGCUGCAGAUUUUCUUCUCUAUCUUGAAUCCUUGCGUCUCCAGUUCUCCCUUCCUCCCGUGGCCCUCUUGCCUUUAUAUAAUGUUACUGACUUGCUUAAUCCUUAUUGGAUUCUAAUUGCAUUAAUUCUUCUCCACCGACUUAUAAAGCCCACUCACCAAGGCCUUUUAAAAUUAUUCCUUACUAAACUUUGAAAACAAAGCACACGUUUGACCACAAAAGCAAAAGGCCAAUUAAUGAUUUCUUCUUUUAAUGCCCAGCACAUGCAUUCCAAAUUGCCAAAUCUUUGCUUUCCAAAUGCAUGCCCACCGUUCAUCCUUUGAAGAGAUUGACUUCCAAUUUUGGUCUUCUUUACUUCCAUUAAUUCUUGGUUGCAUUUUUUUGUAUUCCAAUUUAAUCUUUAUUCCUUCUCAAUUUGAAGUGUUUUCAUG
rnacentral:lncRNA from 1 species